UGUGAGCUCGAUGAGUAGGGCGGGACACGUGGUAUCCUGUCUGAAUAUGGGGGGACCAUCCUCCAAGGCUAAAUACUCCUGACUGACCGAUAGUGAACCAGUACCGUGAGGGAAAGGCGAAAAGAACCCCGGCGAGGGGAGUGAAAAAGAACCUGAAACCGUGUACGUACAAGCAGUGGGAGCACGCUUAGGCGUGUGACUGCGUACCUUUUGUAUAAUGGGUCAGCGACUUAUAUUCUGUAGCAAGGUUAACCGAAUAGGGGAGCCGAAGGGAAACCGAGUCUUAACUGGGCGUUAAGUUGCAGGGUAUAGACCCGAAACCCGGUGAUCUAGCCAUGGGCAGGUUGAAGGUUGGGUAACACUAACUGGAGGACCGAACCGACUAAUGUUGAAAAAUUAGCGGAUGACUUGUGGCUGGGGGUGAAAGGCCAAUCAAACCGGGAGAUAGCUGGUUCUCCCCGAAAGCUAUUUAGGUAGCGCCUCGUGAACUCAUCUCCGGGGGUAGAGCACUGUUUCGGCAAGGGGGUCAUCCCGACUUACCAACCCGAUGCAAACUGCGAAUACCGGAGAAUGUUAUCACGGGAGACACACGGCGGGUGCUAACGUCCGUCGUGAAGAGGGAAACAACCCAGACCGCCAGCUAAGGUCCCAAAGUCAUGGUUAAGUGGGAAACGAUGUGGGAAGGCCCAGACAGCCAGGAUGUUGGCUUAGAAGCAGCCAUCAUUUAAAGAAAGCGUAAUAGCUCACUGGUCGAGUCGGCCUGCGCGGAAGAUGUAACGGGGCUAAACCAUGCACCGAAGCUGCGGCAGCGACGCUUAUGCGUUGUUGGGUAGGGGAGCGUUCUGUAAGCCUGUGAAGGUGUGCUGUGAGGCAUGCUGGAGGUAUCAGAAGUGCGAAUGCUGACAUAAGUAACGAUAAAGCGGGUGAAAAGCCCGCUCGCCGGAAGACCAAGGGUUCCUGUCCAACGUUAAUCGGGGCAGGGUGAGUCGACCCCUAAGGCGAGGCCGAAAGGCGUAGUCGAUGGGAAACAGGUUAAUAUUCCUGUACUUGGUGUUACUGCGAAGGGGGGACGGAGAAGGCUAUGUUGGCCGGGCGACGGUUGUCCCGGUUUAAGCGUGUAGGCUGGUUUUCCAGGCAAAUCCGGAAAAUCAAGGCUGAGGCGUGAUGACGAGGCACUACGGUGCUGAAGCAACAAAUGCCCUGCUUCCAGGAAAAGCCUCUAAGCAUCAGGUAACAUCAAAUCGUACCCCAAACCGACACAGGUGGUCAGGUAGAGAAUACCAAGGCGCUUGAGAGAACUCGGGUGAAGGAACUAGGCAAAAUGGUGCCGUAACUUCGGGAGAAGGCACGCUGAUAUGUAGGUGAAGCGACUUGCUCGUGGAGCUGAAAUCAGUCGAAGAUACCAGCUGGCUGCAACUGUUUAUUAAAAACACAGCACUGUGCAAACACGAAAGUGGACGUAUACGGUGUGACGCCUGCCCGGUGCCGGAAGGUUAAUUGAUGGGGUUAGCCGCAAGGCGAAGCUCUUGAUCGAAGCCCCGGUAAACGGCGGCCGUAACUAUAACGGUCCUAAGGUAGCGAAAUUCCUUGUCGGGUAAGUUCCGACCUGCACGAAUGGCGUAAUGAUGGCCAGGCUGUCUCCACCCGAGACUCAGUGAAAUUGAACUCGCUGUGAAGAUGCAGUGUACCCGCGGCAAGACGGAAAGACCCCGUGAACCUUUACUAUAGCUUGACACUGAACAUUGAGCCUUGAUGUGUAGGAUAGGUGGGAGGCUUAGAAGUGUGGACGCCAGUCUGCAUGGAGCCGACCUUGAAAUACCACCCUUUAAUGUUUGAUGUUCUAACGUUGACCCGUAAUCCGGGUUGCGGACAGUGUCUGGUGGGUAGUUUGACUGGGGCGGUCUCCUCCUAAAGAGUAACGGAGGAGCACGAAGGUUGGCUAAUCCUGGUCGGACAUCAGGAGGUUAGUGCAAUGGCAUAAGCCAGCUUGACUGCGAGCGUGACGGCGCGAGCAGGUGCGAAAGCAGGUCAUAGUGAUCCGGUGGUUCUGAAUGGAAGGGCCAUCGCUCAACGGAUAAAAGGUACUCCGGGGAUAACAGGCUGAUACCGCCCAAGAGUUCAUAUCGACGGCGGUGUUUGGCACCUCGAUGUCGGCUCAUCACAUCCUGGGGCUGAAGUAGGUCCCAAGGGUAUGGCUGUUCGCCAUUUAAAGUGGUACGCGAGCUGGGUUUAGAACGUCGUGAGACAGUUCGGUCCCUAUCUGCCGUGGGCGCUGGAGAACUGAGGGGGGCUGCUCCUAGUACGAGAGGACCGGAGUGGACGCAUCACUGGUGUUCGGGUUGUCAUGCCAAUGGCACUGCCCGGUAGCUAAAUGCGGAAGAGAUAAGUGCUGAAAGCAUCUAAGCACGAAACUUGCCCCGAGAUGAGUUCUCCCUGACUCCUUGAGAGUCCUGAAGGAACGUUGAAGACGACGACGUUGAUAGGCCGGGUGUGUAAGCGCAGCGAUGCGUUGAGCUAACCGGUACUAAUGAACCGUGAGGCUUAACCUUACAACGCCGAAG
rnacentral:rRNA from 1 species